rnacentral:rRNA from 1 species
GCUUUUUGGUGAUUCAUAAUAACUUAACGAAUCGCAUGGCCUUGAGCCGGCGAUGGUUCAUUCAAAUUUCUGCCCUAUCAACUUUCGAUGGUAGGAUAGUGGCCUACCAUGGUUUCAACGGGUAACGGUUAGUGCUUUUUUGUAAAUAUCUAAAUUACAUCUGCUAAUAUUUAAAUACAGGGGAAUUAGGGUUCGAUUCCGGAGAGGGAGCCUGAGAAACGUGAGUAUAACCGUAGAAUAAACUCUUGAUAAAAUAUGUAACUAAUAUAAAUUUUACAGGGCUACCACAUCCAAGGAAGGCAGCAGGCGCGCAAAUUACCCAAUCCCGACACGGGGAGGUACGUUAUUCCAUUUAUCUUAAAAAAGUUUUUAUCUUUGAUCAUAUAUGCUAACACAUCUAUUUUACAGGUAGUGACAAUAAAUACUGAUCCAGGGCUCUUUUGGGUCUUGUAAUUGGAAUGAGUACAAUUUAAAUACCUUAACGAGGAACAAUUGGAGGGCAAGUCUGGUGCCAGCAGCCGCGGUAAUUCCAGCUCCAAUAGCGUAUAUUAAAGUUGUUGCAGUUAAAAAGCUCGUAGUUGAAACUUGGGCCUGGCUGGCCGGUCCGCCUCACCGCGUGCACUGGUCCGGCCGGGCCUUUUCUCCUGGGGAGCCUCAUGCCCUUCACUGGGCGUGCUGGGGAACCAGGACUUUUACUUUGAAAAAAUUAGAGUGUUCAAAGCAGGCCUUUGCUCGAAUACAUUAGCAUGGAAUAAUAGAAUAGGAC